GCGAAAGAAUAAAUCACAAAUGGUAAUGCUGAAGACAAAACAUUAAGCUAGGCACGUGUGACAGAUUCUAAAAGGAAGUUCUAAGUAGAAUUUGACACUUUUAAUAUUGCAGAAUCUUCACUUUUUCACACUAUUAUGUAUUUCAAAGAUUAUUUCAUUUGCUUCAACAGCAUUUUAUUGACACUUCUAAGCGAAGUUCUUAAAUCUCGAAACUUUUCUAAGUUCCAAUUAUAGUAAGUAAAUAAAUAAGUUAAGGGGUAUCUCAGAAUCAAGCACGCCCAUCAACAAUAGCUCUUCUCACUUGCUUAAGCAGCAGUCAAAGCCUGUUCUCUGUCUGGUAAACCAAUUAGUGCGCAGGCGCCUCUAACUGGAGAAUACCUCACUUAAAAGUCGUUGUAGCUAACCCUGUCCAUAAGCCAUAAGGCAUAAGCACUCUCUUCUUAUUUUAGCAGGUAGCUGCUGCUGCUGUUUGAGAUCCCAAAGUGAAUCGUAUCUAUUCGUUGCCGAAAUGUGACCUUUUCAUUGUGUAAUUCAAUAUUGUUCUUGUGGAUAUAUUUUUGAAAAACAGAAAACAGAAAACCGAAAACCGAAAACAGGAUCUUCAAAUCUCUUGUUUGCUUUGCAUUGUAGUUUUCGUUGACUCAAUUGCAAUUGGUAUUUAGUUUUUGUUUUCGAGUUUCUUCUUUUCGAGAUAUGUAUUUUAUUUGUUUUGUUUUUCUUCCACACUCUGAGGCCAGACACGUCGCAGUCGAAACGCUUAAGACUGCUCAUCACGUAACGUCAAGUAUGUGUUAAAGCCUAUGUAUAAGUUCGAGACUUUACAAGCAGUAUGCUAUGCUAUAUACCCAAUUCAGGUAUUCGGGUUCUCUUUUGGAUUUCAUCAUCAUCAUUCACUCAAAAUAAUGUUGUUGUCUAGUGUAGUGUUGUUCUCUUUUAAUGUCAUUAUGUUUUGGCAGAGAAUUGUUUGUUUGUUUUUGUUUGUUUUACAACAUUUCGUUAGGCUAAAUUAGAGACGAGACUUUCAACUGAAUCAUUAAAAAAGAAAACUACUAUAAAGUCGAGCCGAGAUCUUUGUGGUUGCAACGCUCUUAUCAUCUGUGACCCCAACAAAGAAAAGCUUUUGUAUCAACGCGAUUGUCUAUUGUCGUGUCUGGCUUUCAUGAGAAGGGCCCGAGUCAUAAAACACCCGAGGAAAUAUCUCGCCCCUCCAUUAAAGGUUGGCUUGAAAUUGUCGUUAAAAAAGGCAGAAAAUGAAAUGAAAUGAAAAAAAUAUAUAUAAAUAUACAACACGCACACACUCAAUUUGUUGCAGUCUUUGUGGCAUAAUGUAACCUGACAAGGAGUUACAAAUAUUAUGAUUGCGCUACCGACGACGCCCAAGACCCGAAACUAAAACCCGAAAAUUCGAAACCAACCCAAAUAACCUGUCCCGAGUAAUUCUCAGUAAAUUCGAUUGGCAUCUCUAAAGAUCAUAAAAUCCAAAUGAACAAACAGUGGGCAGCAAACGAAGAUUUUGUUUGGGUAAUUGGGAUAGUUAGGGAGUAGUUAGGAUCGAACGUACCUACAAAAUGUUUGUGUGUGGCAUAUUGCAGGUAUUUUUCCAUUAGAGACACACAGCCAGAGAGAGGGAGGGAGAAAGAGAGUGCGGAGUGUGGCAUUUGUGUGUUAAUUAUGCACCUUUUGAGGAAAAAGAUUUUCACCUGAGCAGCGGAAAAUCGACAGGCGGCAGUCGGGCAGACCAAACAGGCCAAACCACUGCAACUAUGGUUGUUGGGCAUGGCUAAUUUAUAAUGCACCAACAGACACACACACACAACCUUCUCUCCCUCUCUGCCUCACUAGUCUGUUCGUCUCGCUCUUGGUUUGGUUUGUGGAUCCUUCAGCUAACGGUUAUUUCGUUGGUACGGCAAUAAAAAUGUUAUUUACUCGUUUUUGUUGUUUUUAUUAUUGUGGUUUCUUUUUACCUCCUCUCUCUCUCUCUCUGUCUCUCCUUCUCGCGUGUUCUCUACUUCAUCUUGGCUCGUUUCUGCAUCUUUAGCCGAAGGUUGCUGCCCAUGCAAAACAACAACAAAUCGCCCAAACAAGUUUCUUUAGCUUACAUUACAUUCUCUCUCUCUUGCUCUUCUACUCUUUCUCUCUUACCCAAUCUUGAUCUCUGGCAAAAGCUUUGCAACUUGUGUACCGUUAGCAAUUUACCCAAAGAAAAUUAACUGCGACGUGCGCAAAAAGGCAGCCAGCCAAAUGAUUGAAGGAGGGCGGAACAAGGAAAAAAAAGCGAGACACGAGUGGUUGCUGUAAAAAUUGGAUAUUUAUUGACCAGAGCGAUGGGUCAAGGUCAGCUACGUGCCCAUUUCAUUUGGAUGACAAGCGAAAGCGGCCAAACCGAAACAACUCAAAAGAAUCUUCACUUACUUCUUCUACUCCCUUUUUUGGUUUUUUGCUGCCCUCAAUUAUCAGCUUUGAAAGUCGCAACGCUUGACCGCCUUAAAUUUUUAUGAUACGCGAUUAUUAUUAUUAUUAUUAUGAUUUUGUGUUGUGCUUUGUAUUUUUGGGAGCUUUGCGGAUUUGCUUUGUGCACGUUUCUCAUGUUGUUGUCGUCUUUUAAUUUACAGCUUUUGUGUUAUUGCCGGCCAUUCGAAUCAGGUCAAAACGGUUGCUUUCUUUCGCCACUGCCGUGACCACGCCCCUUUCUCUUCGUCUCCACCCUUUGAAAUUUGCAUUCACACGCAUUCGUGCGCUUUCUUCGCCCACAGAGCGAAAGAGGGAGAGAGAGAGAAGGUCAAAACAAGUUCAAUAUCUAACGUAUCGCAAACUCUUCUUGUCUUGGCAAGCUUUAAGCUCGUUAACUCUUUAAUCUGCCAGCAGCAGCAGCUCUAUGGGGGAAUUUUACUUGCAAAUUUCACUAGACUUUAUAAUUGAAAGUUUUUAUUUUUCUCCUUUUUUUGGGUCAUAAAUUUAGAUCUUACUGUGAUUAACUGUUGUUUUUUGUUCGCUUUAUGAAAAGUGAAGGCCCGACUUUAUUAACUAAAACGAGUUAAAACUUCUAGUUAAAUUCGCGCGCAAAAAAAAAUAUAUACUUAUAAAUAAACUUCCCCACAA